AUGGGUGGCACUGUGGGUGACAGCGUGGCUGUCGCUAUGGGUGUCACUCUGCAUGUCGCUAUGGCUGACACUGUAGGUGUCACUGUGGGUUACACUGUGGAUAUCACUGUGGGCGACACUGAAGGUGACACUGUGGGUAUGACUGUGCGUGUCACUGUGGUUGCCACUGUGGGUGUCACUCUGGGUGACCCUUUGGGUUACACUGUGGGUGUCACUGUGGGUUACACUCUGGGUGUCACUGUGCGUGUCACUGCGGGCAUCACUGACGGUUACACUCUGGGUGUCACUGUGGGUGUCACUGUGGGUGUCACUGUGGGUGGCACUCUGGGUGACCCUUUGGGUUACACUGUGGGUGUCACUAUGGAUGUCACUGUGGGUGUCACUGUGGGUUACACUCUGGGUGUCACUGUGCGUGUCACUGCGGGCAUCACUGACGGUUACACUCUGGGUGUCACUGUGGGUGUCACUAUGGGUUACACUGUGGGUGUCACUGUGGAUGUCACUGUGGGUGUCACUGCGGGUAUCACUGAGGGUUACACUCUGGGUGUCACUGUGGGUGUCACUACGGGUUACACUGUGGGUGUCACUAUGGGUUACACUGUGGGUGUCACUGUGGAUGUCACUGUGGGUGUCACUGCGGGUAUCACUGAGGGUUACACUCUGGGUGUCACUGUGGGUGUCACUACGGGUUACACUGUGGGUGUCACUAUGGGUUACACUGUGGGUGUCACUGUGGAUGUCACUGUGGGUGUCACUGCGGGUAUCACUGAGGGUUACACUCUGGGUGUCACUGUGGGUGUCACUACGGGUUACACUGUGGGUGUCACUAUGGGUUACACUGUGGGUGUCACUGUGGAUGUCACUGUGGGUGUCACUGCGGGUAUCACUGAGGGUUACACUCUGGGUGUCACUGUGGGUGUCACUAGAGGUGCUGCCCGCUGGCCCCGGAGGGGUGUCCCCAGCCCCCCGGUGACACUGUGCUGCCCAUGCUCAGGACAAGGACGGGCAGAAGCAGUGCGUGGCACACGGCGCUUUCCGGGGCCAGGGGGUUUAUGCCAUCGCCAGGUGCUGCACGUGGCCCAGGGCUGA
rnacentral:lncRNA from 1 species